rnacentral:rRNA from 1 species
AAAUUGAAGAGUUUGAUCAUGGCUCAGAUUGAACGCUGGCGGCAGGCCUAACACAUGCAAGUCGAACGGUAACAGGAAGCAGCUUGCUGCUUCGCUGACGAGUGGCGGACGGGUGAGUAAUGUCUGGGAAACUGCCUGAUGGAGGGGGAUAACUACUGGAAACGGUGGCUAAUACCGCAUAACGUCGCAAGACCAAAGAGGGGGACCUUCGGGCCUCUUGCCAUCAGAUGUGCCCAGAUGGGAUUAGCUUGUUGGUGAGGUAACGGCUCACCAAGGCGACGAUCCCUAGCUGGUCUGAGAGGAUGACCAGCCACACUGGAACUGAGACACGGUCCAGACUCCUACGGGAGGCAGCAGUGGGGAAUAUUGCACAAUGGGCGCAAGCCUGAUGCAGCCAUGCCGCGUGUAUGAAGAAGGCCUUCGGGUUGUAAAGUACUUUCAGCGGGGAGGAAGGUGUUGCGGUUAAUAACCGCAGCAAUUGACGUUACCCGCAGAAGAAGCACCGGCUAACUCCGUGCCAGCAGCCGCGG